AGCGCAGGUGGUUUAUUAAGUCUGGUGUAAAAGGCAGUGGCUCAACCAUUGUAUGCAUUGGAAACUGGUAGACUUGAGUGCAGGAGAGGAGAGUGGAAUUCCAUGUGUAGCGGUGAAAUGCGUAGAUAUAUGGAGGAACACCGGUGGCGAAAGCGGCUUACUGGACGGUAACUGACGUUGAGGCUCGAAAGCGUGGGAGCAAACA
rnacentral:rRNA from 1 species